rnacentral:rRNA from 1 species
ACGCACGCUGGCGGCGUGCUUAACACCUGCCAGUCGAACGGAAAGGCCCUGCUUUUGUGGGGUGCUCGAGUGGCGAACGGGUGAGUAACACGUGAGUAACCUGCCCUUGACUUUGGGAUAACUUCAGGAAACUGGGGCUAAUACCGGAUAGGAGCUCCUGCUGCAUGGUGGGGGUUGGAAAGUUUCGGCGGUUGGGGAUGGACUCGCGGCUUAUCAGCUUGUUGGUGGGGUAGUGGCUUACCAAGGCUUUGACGGGUAGCCGGCCUGAGAGGGUGACCGGCCACACUGGGACUGAGAUACGGCCCAGACUCCUACGGGAGGCAGCAGUGGGGAAUAUUGCACAAUGGGCGGAAGCCUGAUGCAGCAACGCCGCGUGCGGGAUGACGGCCUUCGGGUUGUAAACCGCUUUCGCCUGUGACGAAGCGUGAGUGACGGUAAUGGGUAAAGAAGCACCGGCUAACUACGUG